GUAAAAUUCACCAGUGGUAAAUUUCAGAAAACACUCUGAACUUCAACUUGCUAGCUUAAACAAAAGAAAUAUAUGAAUUACUGCACAGUGACUAUCAUGGCCGAGAAGUCAGUAUGCUGUACAUUCUACAAUGAUCUUCACACUCAGGAUUAAACGAAGAAUAAAUGCUCCGACAAAUGUCAUCUCUCUGGCUUU